CACCUAGGCGACGAUCCCUAGCUGGUCUGAGAGGAUGACCAGCCACACUGGAAGUGAGACACGGUCCAGACUCCUACGGGAGGCAGCAGUGGGGAAUAUUGCACAAUGGGCGCAAGCCUGAUGCAGCCAUGCCGCGUGUGUGAAGAAGGCCUUCGGGUUGUAAAGCACUUUCAGCGGGGAGGAAGGCGAUAAGGUUAAUAACCUUGUCGAUUGACGUUACCCGCAGAAGAAGCACCGGCUAACUCCGUGCCAGCAGCCGCGGUAAUACGGAGGGUGCAAGCGUUAAUCGGAAUUACUGGGCGUAAAGCGCACGCAGGCGGUCUGUCAAGUCGGAUGUGAAAUCCCCGGGCUCAACCUGGGAACUGCAUUCGAAACUGGCAGGCUAGAGUCUAGUAGAGGGGGGUAGAAUUCCAGGUGUAGCGGUGAAC
rnacentral:rRNA from 1 species